rnacentral:lncRNA from 1 species
ACUUGAUCUCAGUUUUCUGGGCUCUGGUUGGAGGAUCAGGGAUCAGAGACCUCCAUCAUGGCCACCGCUGACCAGCUGCUGGAGCUGAUGUUCUCCUGGAUCGAGCAGAGGGAGCGCUGUGCAGAGAAACUGAGGAAACUGGCCAAAGAGCUGGAGUUACUCAGGGAGAAGUGUAACGCUGCAGAAUGUGUUGGAAGCACAUAUGCAGUGGUUGGAUCCUUAUCUCUGAUCGGGGCCGGUGUGGCCACUGUGUUCACUGGCGGUGCAGCUGCUCCACUUUUAGGCGUGGCAGGAGCAGUAUGUUCAGGUGUCGGUCUAACUGUAUCUGUGGCUUCUAAAAUCAUUGAGCACUUCUCAUCCAGCGAUACCAUGAAAGAGGCACAGGAGAUUGAAAAGAAGAGCAACAAGGUUGCAGAAGAAAUCCAGGAUCUGUUCAGGCAACUGAAGGCGGAGUGUUCCUCCACUGACCCAGAUGAAGUGGACCAACACGUCAUGACUGAAAUUCUGAAAGGCAUGGCCAGAAGAUGUGGACUCAAAUGGCACCUAAUGGAUUUCAAGAGGAUUUUUGUUGCAAUAAAGAGAAACAUCAACGAGAUCUUAUUCAGUCCUGUAGUGAAAGUUGCACUGGUAGUAAAACUUGCCAGUAUUUUAAAUUUUUUCACAUUUAAAGUUAAUGGGAAAAUAUACAAACAUUUGUUUAACAAAGGAGCUAAAGAAUUCACCAUACCAAUGACUAAAAUUGCUGAAGAAGGAGCAAAAAAACUCACCAAAGACAUGGCUAAGACUGGAUUUAAAAAAGCCUUUAAAGGAGGCGCCAUGGUUGUAGGAGGAGCUGUUGGACUGGCGUUUGAACUUCCUGAGGCGAUUGACAACUGGAAAGAGCUGAUCAAGAAUAAUCAUGUGACUGAAGCGAGCCAAUCACUGAGAGAUACAGCUAAGGCCAUUGAAAAGAUCUGCCAGACACUGAGGGAACAGUUCGACAACAUGAAGUAAGAAGUUUUCUGUGAUUGUCCACCUAGAUUCUCUCCUCCUGUAGAUCUGAGAACAGCAGCUGGACUCAUUUAGAUUCAUGUUACUUCAAAUACUGACUGCUUGUCCUGCUGGAAAACCCAUCCAAAGAAACUUUACUUUACUGUCCACCUGUAUAGUCAGACCACUGACUAUACAGGUGGACACCGAUACAGACUUUAUCAGGUAUCGACCGUGUCAGGAUAUUCAGGCUUCAUUUUUGUACAGUGGGAGGAAGUGGAGACGUCCAUCUUUUAUAUGUAGAUGAGCCAUACUCAUACAUACUCAUAUUUUUACUAGAAAAUGGAUAAAUCUGUAGCAAGACCUACAAAAAGUUUUCAACAUGACAAAUAAUCACUUCCAGACACUGAAGCUAACAACAUGCUCGCUAGCAGAUUCACAGACGAUUUCAUUGGACACAUUUUGACAGGGGAUGGAACGGUUGACAACGUUGCUUUCAGUUGGGUUCAAACCUUUCUAUCUCUAAUUUUGAUACAGGUCAUUACUUCCCAACAUUUACAUGAACAUCGUUUCAGGGUAAAAUGUUUGCUCGCAACCACUGAUGUUGAUUUAUGCUAACUGUCAUUUCAUUUGUUUUAUUCACAGAAAGAUGUUACAAGAGAUGGACAAAAGACAACAAGAAGAAGAGGAGAAGGCUAAAAGACGACAAGAAGAAGAGAAGAAGGCUAAAAGACGACGAGAGGAAGAGGAGAAGGCUAAAAGACGACAAGAAGAAGUUGAUCAAACAAAUCAAAAUAAAGAGACAGAAAGUGGUCAGCAGGGAGGGGGUGAUCAGGGAGAUAAGGAGAGUGAUAGGGACGAUGAGGAGAGUGAUCAGGAGGAUGAGGAGAGUGAUUGUGAAGAUGAGGAGAGUGAUCAGGAGGAUGAGGAGAGUGAUUGUGAAGAUGAGGAGAGUGAUCAGGAGGAUGAGGAGAGUGAUUGUGAAGAUGAGGAGAGUGAUCAGGAGGAUGAGGAGAGUGAUUGUGAAGAUGAGGAGAGUGAUCAGGAGGAUGAGGAGAGUGAUUGUGAAGAUGAGGAGAGUGAUCAGGAGACGGAUAGUGAGGAAGAGACAGAGGAAGAUGAACGCAAGCAGACUGGUAGAAAAAGGACAAAGCGCCAUCGAAAGAAGGGCACUCGAAGUAAACAAAGAGGAGACAGUGAGGACAGUUGUAUUGACCAAGACCAGAGAACCAUCCAGACACCUCCUGGAACUAUAAGAGGGGCGCUACUCAAUGUUUGUUCACUGGAAAAGAAACGAGACCCUGAAAAAAAAAAAAAAGAUCUUAAAGCUCAUACCAAAAAACAACCUGGACCUCUUUCUCACAACAGAGACGUUGUUACGAGAAGACAAUGCAGACUCAGUCCUCAGGGAGGUUUCACCACCGAAUUACACUACAGAUUAUCAGGUGAGGGUUGGUCAAAGGGGAGGAGGGGUAGCAAUUCAGUUCUCACCAGGGCUGCAGGGUGAAAACCUUCCUUUUGACUCAUUCGAAACCUUUGAAUGUGUUGUCACAGUUCUGCAUCAUGAUGAGUGGAACCAGCCGGUCCCUGUCAUCAAUGUGUAUCACCCACCGGGGUACAACAGGGACCAGUUCCGUACAUUUCUGGAUGAGUUUGAAACGCUCUUGGCUCAUUUCAACAACUACAACAGCAUCAUUGUGACUGGAGAUUUCAAUAUCUGGGUCGAUCAGGAAAGGAGGUCUUUCACUGAUGAGUUUUAUCAUAUUUGGCCGAUCUACAACCUCGAGCAGCAUGUACGGGAGCCAACACACCGGGCAGGUCACACUCUGGAUCUCGUCCUCACCAGAAAUGUUGAAAUCUCUGAUCUUGUUGUCCGAGAUGAUGGAAUAUCAGAUCAUUACACCGUAUAUUUCAAUGCAAAGCCAGUGUCAAAGGAGAGUCAGGAGAAAACUAAAGAAAACAAGGAUCAAGACGAGCAGCCAAAACGAUUGAAAAAGAGCGAAGAAUAGAAAAUGUUUCAGUAUUUUUACACUUCUGACCUGAAAAUAUUGCAUUCAGUUGGUUUCAAAAAGUAGCUGAGUAAGUGUGACAAGAUAGAUAAAAAUGUCUCAUUCUAAGGUAACAAAAACACAACAAUUCUUAUUUUCAGCUGAUUAUACACUAAUAAAAACAUACCUAUGAAUAUUAUAUUCUAUUUCUGACAAUAGAUCUCUAAGUGCCUUAAUUUGGUAUUUAUUAGUUCUCUGCACUAAUAAUCGUAUGGAUGCGUAAUCAGCCGUUUGCUAGCUAAUUGAUGCCAUUGGCCAUAUUGUGGAGGAUGUGUAGUUGAUGCCUUAUUGUUGUACAUUACUGAUUGUAAACUACCUGGUCUGGAUAAACUUAUAUGGUUGAUAUGGAUUUGCUACACAUCUGUACAUCAGUUAGAUUCUCCACAGUUGAAUCCUUCACUUCAUUUUAUAUAAACUAAUCAAAUCAUCAAAUCUGUGAUCGGUGAUUGAUAAUGUUGUUGAAUACAAGUGGUUCUAUUUGUUUUGUAUUAUAACACCAUAUGUGAGUCUAAUGGAAAUGUGAUGUAGCCUGUGAGUGUAAGGAACGUAACAACUUGUAAUAUAGAUUGUACUAAUUAUGGUCAUUUAUCUUUCUUCCACUUUUCUACGAUCAAUAAAUAACCAAAAUGAACAUUUGUCUGGAGUGCUUUCUGAGCGAUGCCCCCUGGUGGCCACAACAAUAAUAAACCAGUCAAAUCAAACAGUCAAAAUCAAACCUUCAUUGAUUCAAAUCUAGAGUUAAAAAGCACCAAGUUCUAAACAGUGGAUGGUAAACAGUCAGUGUAUGACAGCUUCUGAUUAUAGAUUAUUGAUUGAAUUCAAUUCAAUUCAAUUUUAUUUGUAUAGCACCAAUUCAUAACAGAAGUUAUCUCAGGACACUUUUCAAACAGAGCAGGUCUAGACCGAACUCUUUAAAACAUUAUUUACAGAGACCCAACAGUACCACCAUGAGCAAGACCUUGGAGACAAGGGCAAGGAAACACUGCCUGUUAAAAGGCAGAAACCUAGGACAGAUCCUCCGGCUCUAGGUGGGUGGUCGUCUGUCUCGACCAGUUGGGGUGAGAGAGGAGAGAGAGAGAGAGAGAGAGAGAGAGAGAGAGAGGCAGAGACAGAGACAGAGACAGAGACAGAGACAGAGACAGAGACAGACAGACAGACAGACAGACAGGUGCACAGCAACAACAGUAUUGGCAAUGGCAAUCUAGCAGGACCAUGGCAGGAGGCUCCACCAGGAUCGACAAGACCCUGCGAGACGAGAAAGCACAAGAACUCCGGGGAAGAAGUGAAGUUAGUAACAUGCAUUAAUGGAACAUGAAUGAGUGCAGAAAGAGAGAGGAAGAGAGGAGCUCAGUGCACCAUGGGAAAUCCCCCGAUGGUCUAGGCCUAUAGCAGCAUAACUAAGGGAUGGUUCAGGACUCACCUGAUCCAGCCCUAACUAUAAGCUUUAUCAAAGAGGAAUGUCUUAAGCCUACUCUUGAAUGUGGUGAGGGUGUCUGCCUCCCGAACCACAACUGGAAGCUGGUUCCACAGGAGAGGAGCUUGGUAACUGAAGGCUCUGGCUCCUGUUCUACUUUUAGAGACUAUAGGAACCACAAGUAGCCCAGCAUUCAGAGAACGUAGUGUUCUAGAGGGGUAAUAGGGUACUAUGAGCUCUUUAAGAUAUGAAGGGGCCUGACCAUGAAGAGCUUUAUAGGUGAGGAGGAGAAUCAACUCCAUAUAGAACAUGGCUCUAGAGUUUAUACACUGUUUAAUGAUUAUAGAUUACAGAUUAUAGAUUCAACGUUCUCAUUCUAAGCAAACCAAAUACUGUUCUCAAAUUAAAGUUUCUUUGCUAACAUGCAGACAGCGACUCGCUGCUGAAUAUUUAUCAGUUAAUUUUGUGAAUCCACAUGAACUCUUCACAUCAACAUCAAAUAGAUCCACUGCACAGCACUUAUGUUCUGGCUAUAGAGCCAUGAGUCCUGAUGCUGUGCUCCUCCAGGCCCUGCCGUCCCUCUGCAGCCAGUAGUAGUGCGGGGCUGUCCCCAAUCAUUAAUCAGGGCUGGGUGUCGAUAAUCUGGGAACAGAGUUACAGCUGCUGUGUGUCGGUGUGUCUGUGUGAAUAGAGCUGUGUUAAACAUUAAACUGAAAGCGGUACUCCUCCCUGCUAGAGGGAUUGUUCGAUUGCUUCAUUGAGUUUGUUAAAGUACUUACAAAUAUGUAGUUACACAGGAUCGGCUUCUCCUUGGGCUUUCCUCCUUGUUCUAUUCAGUUUCUGUUGAUUGCUAAUAAAAAAUCCUUGUUUGUAUUGAAGUAAACUUUUCUUGGUUCUUUCCUGCAGGGUACAUUAUUUAUGUGUUACUCCCCAUUAUCACUGGUCAUCUCAUUAUCUCUUUCUUCCAAGACAGCGGCAAACACUAAGAGGAAAUGUAGAAGUUGAGUUCUCAUUAAAACUAAAUUUUGACUGGGAUGUUAACUGUACGUCAAAUGAAUUAGAGCAUAGAUUGGAUUCACUGUGUAUAUCUAUACAGUGUGUGUGUGUGUGUGUGUGUAUGUGUGUGUGUGUAUUCACAGGAGGUUAUGCUAGCUGUUGCUAACCCUCUACUUAGUAUG